GAAGUGGGGGGGUUUGUUGAAAAGGUUUGUGAAUGCAGAAAAAUUAAAUUAAAACACAGAUGCAAACAGAAUGUAAAAAUGGAAUGUAAAAAGAAAUGUAAAAACUGAAUCAAAUACAGAAUAAAAAUGGUUGGUGAUUAACUCAAUUAUUAUGCUUCUAAUCAUAGAUUAACAACAAGUACACACUACUCUAAUCCAAAUCCAACAUGAAUCACCCAACAAAGCGAAGGCUAAUUCGGUCUUCAGAGUUGCAAUGCACAAAUCUAAUUAGUCAUGCACCAUAUAGUCUAAUCAACUAAGCGAAGAUUAAACACUGAUUAGGCAACUAAGUUUAUACCUAAUUGCAACCACACAACAGAUUAAACAUUGAGCUAAAACAAAGGAGCAACAUGGCAAUUAAAA
rnacentral:lncRNA from 1 species